ACUGAGGCCUCAAAUGGAGUCCCAGGACGGGCAGCAGCAUCAUCACUGGGGAGCCAACCUUGGCUCUAGCCAGACUUGUGAUAACAGAGUCUGCAUUUUAUCAAGAUCCCCAGGGAUGAGUAUGUACAUUAGCAUUUAAGAAGCACUGAUGUAUAAUUGGUUAUGUUAUUAAUUAGAGGCCACAUCUAGGUUUAAUAUAAUAGAAACAUUGAUGUUACCAAACUCCUAUUUGUAGAUCGCUAUAGCAACAGCCAUCUUUGGAUCUCACUGUUUAUAUCUGUCAAAUGGGGACUCAUAACUCUCAUGCAUAUUUGUCAAAGGAGUGGAGGAGAUCAAGGAAUGGCUAUCAUAAAAUGCUCUAAGACAAAUGAAGAGGGGUGUAAAUAUUAGGGCUUGUUAUUUUAUUAGGGAAGUGCUUAGAUCUUAAUGCCUCAGCUAGCACAAGUUCUAAACACUGAGGAAACUACGCACUCAAGAAAUGCUGUUCUAUUCUCAUGUUAUUGUGAAUGUCCAACAAUUAACCCUGGAUAAUUGGUGUUUUAGUAUACUGUAGCACUGACCAAGUAUCCACUUAUAUUGCAAAACGUACAACCUACAACCUGCUCCAUUCUGUCAGUGAUGACUCACCCAUCACUUCGAAGAAGGGUCUUAACACCUUGCACUUGAUUUCCUCUAAGGCUUUGUUGCUGAAAAUGUGGUUCUCUGAUGAGCAGUGUCAGCCUGGGGGCAGGCUGGAAAUGCAAAACCUGCAGACCUACCUUCUAUCUGCUGAACCAGAACCUGCCUUUGACAUGAUCCUCUAGUGAUUUCUGUGCAAAUGAAUGUUUGAGAAACCUUGACCUAAGGAAGUGCUUCCCAACCCUGGCUGCACAUUAGAAUCACCCUGGGGACUUUUAAAAAUAUCAAUACCAAACUCCCCGUUUCUCCCCACCACCAAUUAAAUUAGAAUUUUGGGAGUUGCCUCAGGCAUCUAUAGACUUUUAAGGCUCCUAAAUGAUACUCUGAUAUACUAUUUGGUGGUGUGAAGUGAGACCUGGAGAAGGGCCAGGAAGAGUCAAAUGACAAGAGUCUUACUACUACUGACAUUUGAAAUGAGUUGGAGUAUGAGGGGAGUAAGUAAAAAGAAUGAUGGAAGAGAGAGAAAGUUAUGCCAAGUGGAAUCUCAAUUGUGGAAAUGGCUGAGUGACUUACGGAAAAGCUAGACCCAACAUUGAAUGUUAAUUUACGUGUAGCUCUGUAAUAUAAAAACAUCUGUCUUGCCAGAACUAUAGUAAAGACUGUAGGUGGAUGGUUUGCUUCCUAUGAAAUAAGAGAUAAGGGCGGAGACCAUUGCUUGAGUUUAUGUAGAAAAUGGACAAUGAGUUGGAUAGUAAUAUAGGUUGCCAGAUAAAAUAUAGGACACCUUAUUCAAUUUGAAUUUCAGAUAAGCAGUGAACACCCUUUUAGUGUUAAGUAUGUGUUACACAAUAUUUGAAAUAUCUGAUAUUUAAAUUUAACUAGAUGUCCUUGCAUUUUGAUCUGCUGAAUGUGGUGACCUUAUGAUAAACCCUAAGCUGGUUUAUGAGAAUCAGAAGCUGAGGGCUGCAGGCCAUCAUAAGAAUGUUAGUUUUGAGUUGGUAGAAAUCUUGGCAAAGACAUCCCACUUCAAUUGAGCUGAGGCAUCUUGUUUGCAUUUGGUUUGAAUCGGAACAGCUUUUUCAUUAUUCUCCAUUUUUCAAUUUUCUUGGGUCUCCCACUUUCCCCUCCCCCAUUUGCCUUGGCCUUCCCUUGAUUUUUUAAAGUGAACUUUUGCUUGACCUUGUGUUUGCUGUUUUUCAGCAUGUUCCAGUCCUAGCAAAAGAAAAGUUCUUAGUCUUAAAUUUAAAUUCGUUGGUAUUUCAGAAAAGGCUCUUAUUUAUUUACCAUUUUCUAGUAUACCACAGCAUUAGAGAUAUGGUCAUAAAUUUACAUUUCUAAAGUGCUCUCAGCCUUCUGAAUUUUGUGAUAGACAAUUUCCCGGGGCACAAAAUGGAGUUAACCCAGGAUGUGGUGAGAAAAACAUGGGAGUGGAGAUGAAAAACAAGAGCAAAAUGAAAACAAGAAUUUCAUCUGAAAUCAGCUCCUAUCAACAAUGCUGUCUCUCCCUAUGCCUGAGACAAAGGGCCUUUAUCAGAUGGCACGGUGAAUAGGCAGGGCCUUCUCUCAAAACUGCCAAGUCUGUUUAUGUAUCUAUUAUUUCCUUUGAAAAUUGCCUGAAGUGGAGCCUUGUGAAGAAUUUCUCAAGCAUUGCCUCAAACCAUUGCCAAGGUUGGGUUGUAAUGGAAGUGCAGAAAGAACAAAGGACAGGCACCAGAAUGUUCUUUUAUUGCUUGCAUGACAAAGAGGAAAGAAAAAGAGAGGAAUGGGAUAGACCAGUGGUUCUCCAAGUGUGGUAGCUGAACCAGGUUCAUCCACGACACUAGGGAACUUAAUAGGACUGUAGAAUCUGAGGUCCCACCCCAGACCUACUAAAUCAGCAACUCUGAGGACCAGGGUCCGUCCAGCUUGUGGUUUAACAAGCCAGCCAGGUGAUUCCAAUAUCAGCUAAACUCUGCGAUCCACAGGUACAGACAUUUUACCUCUUUAAUCUUAAUUUAAAAAACCUCAUCUUCUCUGCCCGAGCCCAACGCUUCUGCCCGGGACAUGGAGGACCUAGACGUGCAGGACUGGGCUGUCAGCACCAGGGUGAUCCUGCCAUCCUGCAGUGAUGGAGAUUUUGCUCUCAUUGAGUCUGUCUGGAUUAUUUCUGGUUCAUGGACAAUCUGGUUUAUUCCUGUCUUCAUAUCAUCUGGACCUCUUUCCUGGUGAAACAAAAUAGUCUGAGAAUUGGAAGGGAACAUCUGAGAUACACACGCUCCUGAUCUUUCCAGGGAUGGAGAGCCCUGGCACCUUGGUAGAAGCAGCUGGCUUUUUCUAGAGAUCCAGAUUGAAGUCUACAGAUUUUGCAGCUACUUAGGGGAGGCUCAUCCGGGAGAGGCCUUGGAGAGGAAAUGCACCCCCCUACUCAGGGCAUGUGAUCUGUGGAGAGGCUCUCUGACCCUGUGACCCCAGUAAGCCUAGAGGAAGCCCCAGUGGCCUGGGCUGCUGCUAGACCUUAUAUGGGGAAAGGAUUAGCACUUCUACCUGGAGAGGCAAGCAUUUGACUUCUCAUGAACAAACAAUUUAGCCAAAAGGACUAGAGUUCUGUAAUGCUUUACCUGGCCAAGAGAUCAUCUAUCAGUGCCAGCAAUAGGCAAGUCUUUUCACAGUGGCCAGGUCUCAGAGUAGUAGAGGAAUAACUAGAAAACAAAACUUCAUGAGUUUUGAGGAAAACAUUCAAGGACGCAGUUCAAGGACACAGUCUAUCAAAUAAUAAUAAUAGAUUCACAACAUGGAGCUCAAGAUAGGGGAAUGUGCAAAGUACAGAAAGGUGGGAUCAGCAAUGGCCCCUGCUGUUACAUGUUUAUAGUUACAAGGAAAAGAAAAGCAACACAAUGCAACAGAGAGCACACAAAAUAUUUUGGACAAAUAAACUUUAUAUCAGUUAUUAAAAUAAAUAUAAAUCAGUCAAAUUCUAUCAGAGUAGAAAGAUUAUCAGUGUAUAAAGCAAAAAUAAUCAACUUCAUGCUAUUUAGAAUUAUGAUACAUAAAACACUGAUGAUAAAAUAUGGAUAAUAAUUUAUCAAAGAUACACUAGGAAAUCAGGGUAAAAAUGAAGCUAAGGUGAGAAUAUUAAUGGCAAACAAAACAAAAUACAACAAUAAAAUAUCAAACUGAGAGAAGAAAUAAUAGUAAGCAUUUUAUUCAAAAGUUGCAAAAAUUUAUGUAUCACCAUGUCUGCCAAAACAAACUAGAAAUACAAGAAAACUUUGACAAUGCGCAAUUAUAAUGUAACCGUUGAUAAAUAGCUUUUUGAAUUCUAAAUAUCAAAUAAGCAAAAAGUAAGAAACAAUAUACUAAAGAAUAUAAUCAACAAACUCAACUUAGUAGAAACAUGUUAGGAUAUGGACAUUGUGAGUAGUGAAUAUAGACCUUUCUUUUUGUAAACUAGAGACAGAAAAUGUACAUUCUUCCCUAUUUUGACGGAGAAUCUACUAGUAUUGAUCAUGUAUGUAGCCACAAAGAAAGUCUUAAUAAAAUAAUCCAAAAUAAAGAUUUUAUAAAACACAUUCUCUAUUAAGCUAGAAAUAAGCAAUUAAAAGGUCAGAAAUAAUAACUACAUGGAAGUUAAAAAUAUUCUUCUAAAUAAUUACUAGAUCAAUAAAGAAAUUAAAGUAAAAUUACAUACUAUUUAAGGUAUUUGGAAAAUAGUGGAAAAAAAACAUUUUGUACAAAAACCUGUGGGAUGUAAUUACAGCUAUAUUAUGCAAAAAUAUAUCUUUAUUGCUUUUGUAAUUUAAAAAUAACUAUAAGUAGGUGAACUUCAAAUUAAGAAAUCAGAAAAACAAUGGGAACCAAUAUAAAUGAGAAAAGAUGUA
rnacentral:lncRNA from 1 species